UCGUACAAAAUGUGCGAGGCAUGCAAGGGCUGUCGCUGACUCAAAGAGUCGUGCACGCCUCUGCUCUCGCAUAACAAUCCAUCUCACCCUUUGUGCAUCACCGCGUGGGCACACCCUUUGGGAUCGGACCGAUCUUGGAGGGGUCUCACGUUUUCACACAAACCCCCCCAUCUAAAAGUGUAGAAUGACCUUGUGUAUAUGCAAUAAAUA
rnacentral:misc_RNA from 1 species